rnacentral:rRNA from 1 species
CAGUCGCCGGCGGUAAAACAGAGGGUGCAAGCGUUAAUCGGAAUUACUGGGCGUAAAGCGCGCGUAGGUGGUUUGUUAAGUUGGAUGUGAAAUCCCCGGGCUCAACCUGGGAACUGCAUCCAAAACUGGCAAGCUAGAGUAUGGUAGAGGGUGGUGGAAUUUCCUGUGUAGCGGUGAAAUGCGUAGAUAUAGGAAGGAACACCAGUGGCGAAGGCGACCACCUGGACUGAUACUGACACUGAGGUGCGAAAGCGUGGGGAGCAAACAGGAUUAGAUACCCCAGUAGUCCCUGUCUCUUAUA